rnacentral:rRNA from 1 species
GGACUACAGGGGUAUCUAAUCCCGUUUGCUCCCCUAGCCUUCGUGCCUCAGCGUCAGACGCUGUCCAGAGCUUCGCUUUCGCUGCGAGCGUUCUUCUCGAAAUCUACGCAUUUCACUGCUACACCGAGAAUUCCAAGCUCCUCUCCAGGUCUCUAGCGAAGCAGUAUCAGGUGCUAGUUGAGGGUUGAGCCCUCAAAUUUCACACCCGACUUACUCCGCAGCCUACGCACCCUUUACGCCCAGUGAUUCCGAACAACGCUUGAGACCUCUGUAUUACCGCGGCUGCUGGCAC